rnacentral:rRNA from 1 species
AAUCAACGCUGGCGGCGUGCCUCAGACAUGCAAGUCGAACGAUUAAACUUUCCUUCGGGAAAGAUAUAAAGUGGCGCACGGGUGAGUAACACGUAAGUAAUCUACCUUCGAGUGGGGAAUAACGUUCGGAACGAACGCUAAUACCGCAUAAUGCAGCGGCACCUAAUGGUGACAGUUGUUAAAGGAGCAAUUCGCUUGAAGAGGAGCUUGCGGCAGAUUAGCUAGUUGGUAAGGAACGGCUUACCAAGGCUACGAUCUGUAACCGGUCUAAGAGGACGGUCGGGUCACACUGACACUGAAUAACGGGUCAGACUCCUACGGGA